rnacentral:rRNA from 1 species
CAGCAGCCGCGGGAAUACGUAGGUGGCAAGCGUUGUCCGGAAUUAUUGGGUGUAAAGCGCUCGUAGGCGGGAUGGAAAGUCCGUGAAGAAAGACCUGGGCUCAACUCAGGGAACGGCACGGAUACUUCCAUUCUUGAGGCAAUCAGAGGGUGAUGGAAUCCCCGGUGUAGCGGUGAAAUGCGUAGAUAUCGGGAGGAACACCAGUGGCGAAGGCGAUCACCUGGGGUUGUUCUGACGCUGAGGAGCGAAAGCUAGGGGAGCAAACGGGAUUAGAUACCCCUGUAGUCCCUGUCUCUUAUAC